rnacentral:lncRNA from 1 species
AGUUACUACUUUUUCUUGUUUGAUAGGCUCCUCAGGCUUUUCCACAGAUUGUUCCUUCACUGCUAAUGGUUCCUCCUUUGCCACUGCUGGCUCAGUAGGUUUAUUAGUGUUUUUUGAUGUUUCUAACAUCUCGGGUGCUUCGGUUACUACUUUUUCUUGUUUUACUGGCUCCUCGGGCUUUUCCACAGAUUGUUCCUUCACUGCUAAUGGUUCCUCCUUUACCACUGCUGGCUCAGUAGGUUUAUUAGUGCUGUUUGAUGUUUCUAAUUUCUCGGGUGCUUCGGUUACUACUUUUUCUUGUUUUACUGGCUCCUCGGGCUUUUCCACAGAUUGUUCCUUUGCUGUUGAUGGUUCUUCUUUAGCCACUGCAGACUCGGUAGGUUUUUCACUACUCUCUGAUGUUUCUGAUUUCUCUGGUUCUGCUGGUGCUUUGUCACUUUCUGUUGGCUCCUUCCCUGCUUCAUUCUGCAUAUAUAGAAUACCAUUUCAACCAUAAGAUAUCUCAGAAGAUUCAGAAUCCAAUAGACAUGCAGAUUUUACUAAUAUAUAGCCAUGUAGCUUAAGAUAACCUUUCAAAGCAAGAAAAAGGAUCGCGUUUUUUUGUCCUUUAGUACGUAGUGUUUGGGUUAUUGUCUCAAGACAGAAAAACCAGAAACACUGGAGAUAGAAGAGACAUGUUUCUGCCCCUUCUGUCCCGAAACACUUAUACAUAUUUACUAGUAGAUCCACAAGUCCCAAUGGGACACCACAACUGAUCCUCCACGGCUUGGGACAGGGCCGUGCCGGAAAACACAACUAACACCAGUCUUUUGUCAGCCAUUAGGCUGAAUAAUAACCUAUCCAGUUAACUGUUAUGUAAACUUGGCGAUGCAAAUGUAAUUGUAUCUAUAGACUAGCACAGCAAGUCAAUGGAGUGCAAGGAGCACAGCAAACAGGCUGAAAGGCACGUUCCAAAAUUUAACUAAGAUCACCAACAAUCUGACGCAGCUAAUCGAAUUGGUUGGAAACAAUUUAUCAGAAUAAUCCAAGCCCCAACAACCAGUACAGCUAGAUAUUCUUUGAUGGAUGUUUACUGCGUCCAGCUAAACCCUCAAUUCCGGCAACAUUGACUAGGGACAUUCAUACAUAUCCGACCUGUGUUGCUCAACAGUUUGCUUUCAAUUACUGCCUGCAUUUAUCCUUUAUAUAACAAAAUCCGUUGGUAUCAGAAAACGUGUAUUUAUAUAUAUACAAAAAAGACAAAAACAUGCUUUGUUGAAAAAACAAUGAUAAAAAUAUAAAAUAAAUAUGUGAUAUAUUUUUUAGUUAAUUUUUGUAAUAUUCAUAAGCCUAUUCCUCAGAAGAGAAGAUCAUGUCUUUCUUCUCUAUCUUUUAUCGAGAGGAAAUAUAUAUUAAAAAGAAAAAAGAAAAAUCAGGGGGCAGCUGUUAAAAACUUUUCAUCACUCCCAAGGUUAUGAAAAUGAAACGACACAAAAUAUGGAGAAAAAACUUGGAGGAACCAAACAACAAGUGGGUCCUCAAACAAGAUUUUUUUUGCCAGACAUCAAAUGAAAUGCGAAACAACAAAGUUGAAGAGAAACCUUACACAGGCUUUCCAGUUCAAAGAAUCUAAAGCUUUUAACUUUAUUGCUUACCGUAUCCCAGCAAACAAAUAAGCACGGUACAAGUAGCUGCAAACUCAAGUUUUACACAGAGAAAGAGGUCUUUGAGGGAAAAUGAUUUUUUCGAAAAAAAAAAAAAAACGGAAGGUAAAUUAAUUAUUCAUGCCGACACAACAAUAUAGACAAACAUAAAGACAUUUGGGACAGAUUAAAUAAAUUUUAGGAAAUUAAAAUAUAUAAUUGUGCUUAUAACAGAAGUAAAAUGCUUGAGAAAUUAUUAUACUGUUGUGUACACGCACUCAACGCAAUCAUGUCACUAAUGUUAGAUAUCGAAGAACCCUGUAAUAUUUCUCAAGUGGGAUUGAAUAUGAAUUCAUUUGCAAUUGAAAUAAUUAUUAUAUAAACUAGGUAUAUUCUUUAAUUAUUUUGUCAAAACAUUGACAAUAAAUUGGGUUGCUUGUGUUAAUUUUAUGGACACCAUAACAAGAAGAACCAUGCAUGUAUACAAGAGAAUUUUCAAUUUAAUUUCCUAUUCUUGACCUCCUCCUAGACCAACAGCAGAGAAAUUCACCAAGAAAAAAAAUCGAACGUCGGAUUAUAAGAAAAAGAUUUGAAAGGGACAAGUUUGACCAUAUGAAGUUUGAAGACAAAUCACGUCAAUGGACACUAAUUAACCACAUAAAAUUAGGAGGUUAAAUAAUUUAUUUGUAAUAAGAGAAAUAAUUAGAAGAAAGAGCAACCAUCAUCUGUUACAGUUUAUCACAGAGAAAAAAUGUAGAAAUCGACCCAAGAUUUAAUAUUAAAUAGCAAAAAUUAUAUUUAAUCAAGACUCUUUCCAGAUAUAAAAAAAUAAAAUCAAAAUUAACACAAACUGAAGAAAUAUUUUUGUAAGCACGUUUUAAACAUAUAAUAAAAUCAAAUUCUUUCCUUUUUGUGCCCAAGAUAUAAGAUUGUGUAGAAAGAAUUAAUACAUUAAACAAUUUAAAAAAAAAAAAAUCAUUACCUCCUUGAACAAAUUACUUAGAGAUCGUCUCUUGCUGCUAUCAUCAACAAUCUCAGCCUCCACCUUAUUAUCAGCACCAACAACACCAGUAUCUUUCUCAACAUUGACAACCUUCUUCUCCUCUUCCUCCACAGCAACACCCUUGUCUACAACCUCAUCACCACCACCUGUUGCCACCACAACUUCCUCCUUGACCGGCUCAGGAGUCUCCCCCUCCUUCAACACCUUCGGCUUGGUGGCACAGGCUCCCAUAUUAAUUAUUUAAUCCCAAAAACUUUUCUAAAUGCUUUUGGGACACCUUUAUACGUUAAAGAAACUUGAAGAAAGACUCGAGAACAAUAUAGAAGGACAAAGAGACGGAAAGAAAAUAUGGGAAACUCAAAUAUAAAUAGAAGAAGAAGAAGGAUCAAUCAAAAAAGUGUGGGGUGCUAAUUUUUUGGUUCCGACAAUCACUCUGUGGUGAAGGGAAGUGAUAUAUAUGUGUGUCUAUAUAUAUAUGAGAGAGAGAGAGGCAGAACAGAGAGACAAGAAAAACAGGGUUUGGAAGAGUUACAAUGUUUUUAUGGAAGUGUGAUGCUUGUGUAAUAUUUUUAAUGUCUUAAUUAAUUUGGGAUUAUGUUAAAACAGGUGUCACAGGCUGUAAGAGAGAGAUUAGGAGAGGUUUUGAGAAG